GGGCUGCAGUCAGGGGUACUUGUUAGAAUUAGCAAUAGUUUGGGUUAAAAGUCCUGUCCAUUUUUUAUCUAUUUUCUUCUUCUUUUAUUGUCUUUUCUUUUCAAAUCUAUACUCAGUUGUAAAAGUUAUUGUGUUUAUUGGACCUAAAAAUAAAUCUACCUGACUACACUUGUAGUAGGUUAACUCAAUCGUUCGAGUCCUUUUCCCUGUCGACUCCUCGACACAGGCAAAGCAGAACGACACACGCUCUCCCAGCUGAUCCCCUCACGGGGAGAUUUGGAAGUACCUGGUCAGGUCUUGGCCAGCCUUCAAAUCCCAGAUGUGGAGACUGCAGGGAUACCUCACAGAGAAGACACUAAAGAGUCAUCUCUCAUUCAUCGAGUGGACUCAUUGGUUUGCGAAUGACCACGAAGAUGCUCCCAUAGGCAGAUUGCUGCAUGGCAUUCACCACUUAUUCAAAUUGUAGAGGUUGAAGCAGUCUUCCUUGUGGUCACUUGCCAUAACACUGUCAUGUGUUUUAUGAAAACACCAUCAGUAACAUUUAAAUUGAGUUGAUGUGGACGGCUCUUUUGUUUGUCCGAUUUCUUCAGUGUUCAGUGCCUGUUUGUGAGAUAUGCAUUGUUUGAAAGAUAAGCCUUUGAUUUUGUUUAAUUUUAAUACGUCUUUCAUCAACAGUGGUUUGGGGUUUUAUAACAACAAUUAAAAUGCUUAACUACUGGUGAACGAUGUUGCAGAACAUAUAUGGUUUGUGUUGAUUGCAUGGAAAAGGGAAUAACCAGUUACAACUUGUAUGGUAAGAGCCUGGUAAUACCAUGGAAACAAACGAGGCUUCCUUUUACUGUACAGUUUCAGCUUAAUUACUGGGUAAAUUGUCGUGUUUUACUUGGUAACGUCGCAGAACGUACAUGGUACAAGUUUGUGUUGACUGCAUGGAAAAGGGAAUAAUGUAUUACAAAUUAUAUGGUAAGAGCCUGGUAAUACCAUGGAAACAAACGAGGCUUCCUUUUACUGUACAGUUUCAGCUUAAUUACUGGGUAAAUUGUCGUGUUUUACUUGGUAACGUCGCAGAACGUACAUGGUACAAGUUUGUGUUGACUGCAUGGAAAAGGGAAUAAUGUAUUACAAAUUAUAUGGUAAGAACCUGGUAAUACCAUGGUAACAAACGAGGCUUCCUUUUACAGUACAGUUUCAGCUUACUUACUGGGUAAAUUGUCGUGUUUUACUUGGUAACGUCGCAGAACGUACAUGGUACAAGUUUGUGUUGACUGCAUGGACAAUGGAAUGUAUCUAUUAUAAAUGAUAUGGUAAGAACCUGGUAAUACCAUGGAAACAAACGGCUUUGUACCCAGUAUUUAAGAAGAUGUACCAUGACACCAGAGGAAAACUUCCUGCAGAGGUUGUUACCAGGUAAGUAAUUCCAUAGUGGUAAACUGAAUAAACCCUUUCUAAAUGGGUGUAGCUAUGAAUAAUAACUAAGAAAAAGUAUUUUAUUGGAAAGUACUAUGCUAAU